rnacentral:rRNA from 1 species
CAGCAGCCGCGGUAAUACGGAGGGGGCUAGCGUUGUUCGGAAUUACUGGGCGUAAAGCGUACGUAGGCGGCUUUGUAAGUUAGAGGUGAAAGCCCGGGGCUCAACCCCGGAAUUGCCUUUAAGACUGCAUCGCUUGAACGUCGGAGAGGUGAGUGGAAUUCCGAGUGUAGAGGUGAAAUUCGUAGAUAUUCGGAAGAACACCAGUGGCGAAGGCGGCUCACUGGACGACUGUUGACGCUGAGGUACGAAAGCGUGGGGAGCAAACAGGAUUAGAUACCCCGGUAGUCCCUGUCUCUUAUAC